rnacentral:tRNA from 1 species
GCUAGCUCAGUCAGUACAGCAUGAGACUCUUAAUCUCAGGGUUGUGGGUUCAUGCCCCACAGUUGGCA